AGCAGUGGUUAUAACUGCUUCUUGUGCUGUUGUGGUGGUCAUUGUCAUUACCGUCUUAAUUAUUAGAAUGCGCAAAAAUUCAUCACGGCCGGGAAUUUCCUCGAGGAUUGUUUCUAGCAAUCAGGUCGUCUAUGCCAUGGUCAAUAAACCUACAACAACUUCGAAUAAGCAAGAAUUAACAGGAAAGCAAACAGCUGGAAAAACUGAAAAUGAUGAUACAUACGACCAUAUGGAACACCAUCGCUCCAGUCAAGACCAGAACAACGAGUGUAAUUAUGAUACAAUGCAGGGUGUGGGAACUGCAGAAAUUGAAAAUGACUAUGAUGUGACAAAUGGAAAGGAGAGAGAUGGACAAUUCAUGAUUGACGACUCAGCAGAAUAUAGCCACUUGGAAGUAGAAAAUCAAG